rnacentral:rRNA from 1 species
UACGUAGGGGGCAAGCGUUGUCCGGAUUUAUUGGGCGUAAAGAGCGUGUAGGCGGCUUUGCAAGUCCGUUGUGAAAACUCGAGGCUCAACCUCGAGACGCCGGUGGAAACUGCAAGGCUAGAGUCCGGAAGAGGAGAGUGGAAUUCCUGGUGUAGCGGUGAAAUGCGCAGAUAUCAGGAAGAACACCCGUGGGCGAAGGCGGCUCUCUGGGACGGUACUGACGCUGAGACGCGAAAGCGUGGGGAGCGAACAGG